CCUACGGGAGGCAGCAGUGGGGAAUCUUGCGCAAUGGGCGAAAGCCUGACGCAGCAACGCCGCGUGCGGGAUGAAGGCCUUCGGGUUGUAAACCGCUUUCAGCAGGGAAGAAAAUGACGGUACCUGCAGAAGAAGCCCCGGCCAACUACGUGCCAGCAGCCGCGGUAACACGUAGGGGGCGAGCGUUGUCCGGAUUUAUUGGGCGUAAAGAGCCCGUAGGCGGUUCGGUAAGUCGGGUGUGAAACCUCCAGGCUCAACCUGGAGACGCCACCUGAUACUGCUGUGACUAGAGUCCGGUAGGGGAGUGUGGAACUCCUGGUGUAGCGGUGAAAUGCGCAGAUAUCAGGAAGAUCACCAGCGGCGAAGGCGGCACUCUGGGCCGGUACUGACGCUGAGGAGCGAAAGCGUGGGUAGCAAACAGGAUUAGAUACCCUGGUAGUCCACGCCGUAAACGUUGGGCACUAGGUGUGGGUCUCAACCAACGAGAUCCGUGCCGCAGCUAACGCAUUAAGUGCCCCGCCUGGGGAGUACGGCCGCAAGGCUAAAACUCAAAGAUAAGUGCGCGNGAGACGCGACGACGACGACGACGGAGGAGAG
rnacentral:rRNA from 1 species